rnacentral:rRNA from 1 species
GGAGUCUGGGCCGUGUCUCAGUCCCAAUGUGGCCGGUCAACCUCUCAGUUCGGCUACUGAUCGUCGCCUUGGUGGGCCGUUACCCCGCCAACAAGCUAAUCAGACGCGGGUCCAUCUUACACCGAUAAAAUCUUUUCCGUCCAGGCCAUGCGGCCCUAGCGGGUUAUGCGGUAUUAGCAGAAAUUUCUCUCUGUUGUCCCCCCUGUGUAAGGCAGGUUACCCACGCGUUACUCACCCGUCCGCCACUCGGAAAAGCAAAAUCCAUCCGAAAACUUCAUUCGCAAUUCCUCGUUCGACUUGCAUGUGUUAAGCACGCCGCCAGCGUUCAUC